GGAGAAUCACUUGAACCCGGUAAGUGGAGGUUGCAGUGAGCCGAGAUCACACCACUGCACUCCAGCCUGGGUGAAAACAUGCACCAGAAAGAACCACACCCCACCCGAGGAAAGACCCGCAUAACAGGCAGAGAUGGGCAGAGGCCGAAGCAGCCAAGGACGUUACCCCCACGGGGCAAAGCUGGAGUGCAGUGGCAGCCAUCAACGGUUCACUGCCCCCUGACCUUCCAGACUCAGGUGAUCCUCCCACCUCAGCCUCCUGGGUAGCAGGGACUGCAGGUGCACACCACCACAUGCAACUAAUUUUUUUUUUUUUUUGUAUUUUUUGUAGAGAUGGGGUCUCAAGCUCCUGGGCUCAAGCAGUCUGCCUGCCUCGUCCUCCCAAAGUGCUAGGUUUGCAGGUGUGAGCCACCACACCUGGCCAGAAAUAGUUCUUUAAAUGGACAUGAAAAAACUUUAAAAGAUUAGAAGACGC
rnacentral:lncRNA from 1 species